rnacentral:rRNA from 1 species
GUGCCAGCCGCCGCGGUAAUACGGAGGGUGCAAACGUUGCUCGGAAUCAUUGGGCGUAAAGCGCACGUAGGCGGCCUGUUAAGUCGGAUGUGAAAGCCCCGGGCUCAACCCGGGAAGUGCAUACGAAACUGGCAGGCUUGAAUAUGGAAGAGGGUCGCGGAAUUCCCGGUGUAGAGGUGAAAUUCGUAGAUAUCAGGAAGAACACCGGUGGCGAAGGCGGCAUACUGGACCACAUCUGACGCUGAGGCGCGAAAGCCAGGGGAGCAAACGGGAUUAGAAACCCCGGUAGUCC